GAUGAACGCUGGCGGCGUGCCUAAUACAUGCAAGUCGAGCGAACAGACGAGGAGCUUGCUCCUCUGACGUUAGCGGCGGGCGGGUGAGUAACACGUGGAUAACCUACCUAUAAGACUGGGAUAACUUCAGGAAACCGGAGCUAAUACCGGAUAAUAUAUUGAACCGCAUGGUUCAAUAGUGAAAGACGGUUUUGCUGUCACUUAUAGAUGGAUCCGCGCCGCAUUAGCUAGUUGGUAAGGUAACGGCUUACCAAGGCAACGAUGCGUAGCCGACCUGAGAGGGUGAUCGGCCACACUGGAACUGAGACACGGUCCAGACUCCUACGGGAGGCAGCAGUAGGGAAUCUUCCGCAAUGGGCGAAAGCUUGACGGAGCAACGCCGCGUGAGUGAUGAAGGUCUUCGGAUCGUAAAACUCUGUUAUUAGGGAAGAACAAAUGUGUAAGUAACUAUGCACGUCUUGACGGUACCUAAUCAGAAAGCCACGGCUAACUACGUG
rnacentral:rRNA from 1 species